rnacentral:rRNA from 1 species
AUACGGAGGGUGCAAGCGUUAAUCGGAAUUACUGGGCGUAAAGGGUUCGUAGGCGGUUAUUUAAGUCAGAUGUGAAAGCCCCGGGCUCAACCUGGGAAUUGCAUCUGAUACUGGGUAACUAGAGUUUAAGAGAGGAGUGUGGUAUUUCCGGUGUAGCGGUGAAAUGCAUAGAGAUCGGAAGGAACAUCAGUGGCGAAGGCGGCACUCUGGCUUACAACUGACGCUGAGGAACGAAAGCGUGGGUAGCAAACAGGAUUAGAAACCCUAGUAGUCC